GGCCUUGCAUGGGGAAUUUGCUGCAUGUAAAAGAGAACAGCUAUAUGCUGCUCAUCUAGUACUGGAAUUAGUUCAGUAUUCAACUCUUUGAAAGGGUAGAUAAUGGCAGGACAAGGGAAAAUAGUUUGAAGUUGAAGGAGGGAAGAUUUAGGUUGGAUGUCAGGGGAAGUUCCUUGCUAUGAGAGUGGUGAGGUGCUGAACAGCUGCCCAGAGAGGCUGUGGAUGCCCCGUCCAUCCCUGGAGGUGUUCAAGGCCAGGUUGGAUGGGGUCCUGGGCAGCCUGGGCUGGUAUUACAUGUGGAGGUUGGUGGCCCUGCCUGUGGUGGGGGGUUGGAGCUUCAUGAUACUUGAGGUCCCUUCCAACCCAAGCCAUUCUGUAAUUCUGUGAUUAAGGUCACAAGAGACCUGUAAAAUCAAUCAUCAACCCACCACCACUAUGAGCAUCCCCAGGCUGGUGUUGCUGAGCACCGUGACUCGGAGAGCUGCCAAGCUGGACAACUGCUCCUCACUGUCCAGCUUGACCUUU
ensembl:lncRNA